rnacentral:lncRNA from 10 species
CAGAAAAUGACUGAUUGAGAUGAGAUGUUGGUGAACAGCAUCUUGACCCUUGGGUCAAGUGACAGUAAAGGACUCAGGAUGUACGCAUGGAGAAAGCUUUCAGGAAGUGGGACCAGCAUGAAAUAAAGCUGUGAGGUGAGGAAGAGCUUAUUUUAAAAACUAGAUGUGGCAAUGGGGGAACAGUGUGCCUCAGACACUGAGCAGAGGGCAAAUGGCAUGAAGUGAUGAUGGUGAGGGAGGGGAUGAGUCCCAUGGGCUCUACUCUGAGUGUAAUGAGAAGCCUUUGAAUGGUUAAUCAACUUUGUAACAUAAUCCAGUUUCCACAAUAGGAACUUUUCAUGCAAUGUGAGGAAUGAAUUGUGAGGGGAAGAAUGGAAGAGGAGACCACAAAGAAGCAGUUGCAAGAGUCCAAGUCGGAAAUACUGGCAUCAAGGACCUGAAUGAUAACAGAGGAAAUGGGGAGUAGAGGACAAAAUGAGAUUUGCCUUUGAGGUUGGCAACAAAUGAUUCAUGGACCACCACUCAUCUAUAGACCAGACAUUAGUAAGAUGUGCUUGCUUCUCCUUCGCCUUUCACCAUGACUGUAAGUUUCCAGAGGCCUCCCAGUCAUGGUUCCUGUUAAGCUUGCAGAACGGUACUUCUAGGCCUCUACCAUCCAGGGAUCCUGCUACCUUCAUUAAAAUCAGGGAGCCAAUUUCAAAUGCAACAUCUACUAACAUCUCUGAAAACAAAACUCCACUAAAGUGCUUUUUCAAAAAUGCUGGUGUUUCCCUCAACAGUGGAUUUCUCAAAACCUUGAAAAGAGAGUGUCUUAUAAAUCCUCAGGGAACAACAUUUGCUGGGGGGAGGGAUGGGUCAUUCCUUCUCUCUCUAAGUCUUUGCAUUUUUUCCUGUGCAUUUUACCAAUAAAUUUCUGUCAUUCCAACCAGCUUCAGCUAGUAGCAGUUUUGAAUCUACGUUUUAGUAAGCCAACUAAUUAUCAUUAAAAGUAUAUCUGAG